rnacentral:lncRNA from 1 species
GUCCUGUGGGGUCUUAUGGGUCACCAUGGGGUCCUACAGGGGGUCCAUGGCGUCCUAUAGGGGCAUAUGGGGAUCCCAUGGAGUCUAAGGGGGCCACAUGGGGGUCCUAUGGGGGUCACAUUGGGUCCUAUGGGGUCCCAUGAGUUCCUGUGGGGAUUCCUUGGGAUCCUAUGGGGACCUAUGGGACGUGUGGGGGUUCCAUGGGAGACCCACAGGGUCCCAUGGGAGCUCCGUGGGGUUCUAAGGGGGUUCUAUGGGGUCCCAUGGGGUCUUACAGAGUCCCAAAGGAUCCUAUGGGGCCCCAUGGGGACCUGAGAGGAUUGCAUGGGAGUCCUAUGGGGUUCCAUGGGGUUCUGUGGGGGACUUAUGGGGUCCCACAAAGUCCUGUAUGCUCCUAUGGGGUCCCAUGAAGUCCUGUGAGGUCCUAUGGGGUCCUAUGGGGUCCCAUUGGAGUCCUAUGGGGUCCCAAGGGGUCCCGUGGGGUCUUAGGGUGUCCUACGGGGUCCUGCUGGAGUCCUAUGGGGUCCCGUGAGGUCUUACGGUGUCUUAUGGGGUCCUGCGGGGCCCUAUGGGAAGGAACAUGGGUCCUACAGCGUCCCAUGGGAGCUCCAUGGGAUCCUAAGCGGGUUCUAUGGGGUCCCGUGGGGUCUUACAGAGUCCCAAGGGGUCCUAUGAAGUCCUAUGGGGUCCCAUUGGAGUCCUAUGGGGUCCCACUGGAGUCCUAUGGGGUCCUGCGGGGCCCUAUGGGAAGGAACGUGGGUCCUACAGCGUCCCAUGGGAGCUCCGUGGGGUCCUAAGCGGGUUCUAUGGGGUCCCGUGGGGUCUUACAGAACCUAAGGGGUCCUAUGAAGUCCUAUGGGGCCCCGAGGGGGUUGCAAUGGGGUCCUAUGGGUCGUAUUGGGUCCCACCCCCCCUCCUCACCUCUCCCCCGCCUCCCGCCAGGUUUCGCCCCCAGCUGCAGCAGCUCGGCCUCCAGCUCGGCAGCGCUGGGCUCGGCGGCGGCCGGCGGCUGUGGGGACAAAGAACCACGCGCCGGGGCGCAGGUGGACACGGGGCACAGAACGGGACGGCCGGAACCCAAACGGCACAGCCGGAACCCCACGGGAACAGCCGGAACCCAACAACCCAAUGGGAACAGCCAGAACCCCACGGGAACAGCCAGAACCCAACAACCCCAUGGGAACAGCCAGAACCCCAUGGGAACAGCCAGAACCCCACGGGAACAGCCAGAACCCCACGGGAACAGUCAGAACCCAAAUGGGAACGGCCGGAACCCAAAUGGGAACCCAACAGGAACAGCCAGAACCCAAACGGGAACAAACAGCCAAAACCCAAAUGGGAACAAACAGCCGGAGCCCAAACAGGAACAGCUGGAAUGGGAACAGGUGGAACCCAACAGGAACAGCUGGAACCCAAACGGGAACAACCAGGAACCCAAAUAGGAACAACCAGAACCCAACAGGAACAAACAACCGGAACCCAAUGGGAACAAACAGCCGGAGCCCAAACAGGAACAGCUGGAAUGGGAACAGCCAGAAUGGGAACAGGUGGAACCCAAAAGGAACAGCCGGAACCCAAAUAGGAACAGCCGGAACAGAACAGCCAGGAACCCAAAUGGGAACAAACAACCAGAACCCAAUGGGAACAACUGGAACCCAAAUGAGAACAGCCAGAACCCAACGGGAACAGCCAGAACCCAAAUGGGAACAGCCAGAACCCAAAUGGGAACAGCCAGAACCCAAAUGGGAACAAACAACCAGAACCCAACGGGAACAACUGGAACCCAAACGGGAACAACUGGAACAGGAACAGCCGGAGCCCAACAGGAACAGCCAGGAACCCAAAUGGGAACAACCAGAACCCAAACAGGAACAGCCAGAACCCAAUAAGCACAGCCAGCACCCACUGGGCCCAACCAGCACCCACUGGGCCCAACCAGCACCCACUGGGCCCAACCAGCACCCAUUGGGCCCAACCAGCACCCACUGGGCCCAACCAGCACCCAUUGGGCCCAACCAGCACCCAGUGCCCCCCCCCACUCACCUGCCCAGCCCCGCUGCGCCCAGCUCUGCUCAUGGCUGCUCUGCUGCGGCUGUGGGGCAGCGCGGUGUCACAGCCCCAAC